rnacentral:rRNA from 1 species
GUCCCAGUUCGGAUUGUAGUCUGCAACCCGACUACAUGAAGCUGGAAUCGCUAGUAAUCGCGGAUCAGAAUGCCGCGGUGAAUACGUUCCCGGGUCUUGUACACACCGCCCGUCACACCAUGGGAGUCGGAAAUGCCCGAAGUCAGUGACCCAACCGUAAGGAGGGAGCUGCCGAAGGUGGAGCCGGUAACUGGGGUGAAGUCGUAACAAGGUACC